rnacentral:rRNA from 1 species
CCUACGGGUGGCAGCAGUGGGGAAUAUUGCACAAUGGGGGAAACCCUGAUGCAGCGACGCCGCGUGAAGGAAGAAGUAUUUCGUUAUGUAAACUUCUAUCAGCAGGGAAGAAAAUGACGGUACCUGACUAAGAAGCCCCGGCUAACUACGUGCCAGCAGCCGCGGUAAUACGUAGGGGGCAAGCGUUAUCCGGAUUUACUGGGUGUAAAGGGAGCGUAGGCGGUUUAGCAAGUCAGAAGUGAAAGCCCGGGGCUCAACUCCGGGACUGCUUUUGAAACUGUAGAACUAGAGUGCAGGAGAGGUAAGUGGAAUUCCUAGUGUAGCGGUGAAAUGCGUAGAUAUUAGGAGGAACACCAGUGGCGAAGGCGGCUUACUGGACUGUAAAUGACGCUGAGGCUCGAAAGCGUGGGGAGCAAACAGGAUUAGAUACCCCAGUAGUC